CUUCAGGGGCCCAGCCGAUAUCACAUUUACUCUUUGCCGAUGACUGCCUCCUCCUGACGCGUGCUUGCAUAGCAGAUGCUCAGGCUAUCAGGCAAGUUUUGGCCACCUACUGUGAGGAUGAUAGUGUUAUUUUGAUGAUUAACAAGCAAUUAUCUAGAGUAUGUUAUAAGUUAAAUUGAUACUUCAUUUAUAAGACUAUUACUCUCAGGAUAUUUGUAUAAAUUGAUAUAGAUACAUUUCAUUGUUUAUUUGAAUGAAUCUAACCUUGAGAUGCAGCAAAGUGUGGAUUGAGUCGACCCAAAGGAUGAUUGGGUCGACCCCGGCACAUCAAGAAAUCAUUUGGCACACUUCUGCAAAAAUGGCACAGAUGAACAGUGAGUUGGAUCGACCUAAGGAAAGCAUGAGUCGACCCAAACAUCAAGAUCCUCAAAACAAGACAGAACAAUGGUUCUCUGGAUUCACUGAGAGGGUCGACCCAAGAAGUAGUUGAGUCGACCCAAGCUUGAGUCGAC
rnacentral:lncRNA from 1 species